rnacentral:misc_RNA from 1 species
GUGAAUCAUCAAAUUUUUGAACGCAAAUUGCACUCUCCUCGGAGAGGAUGACUGUUUGAGGGUCAGCCUCAAAAAAAAUCGACAUCGUUGCUGUUUAGCGGUGAAGUUAGUAGGAAAUUGGGUAAUAUUAAACCCUUUGGUUUUUAAGCGACUUAAAAUUUUGUUUUGACAUCAUGAACGCUUCUAAGAUGUAUAUCUUUACACGAUUAAGGGUAUGGAUUUUAUUAGAAGUGGCUGUCAUAUCGGAAUGAGUCAAUCAUUUGUC